rnacentral:rRNA from 1 species
GAUGAACGCUAGCGACAGGCCUAACACAUGCAAGUCGAGGGGCAGCACAUGAGUAGCAAUACGAUGGUGGCGACCGGCGCACGGGUGAGUAACACGUAUGCAACCUGCCUUCUACUAUGUGAUAACCCGUUGAAAGACGGACUAAUACCGUAUAAUACAGGGGCUCCGCAUGGAGAUAUUUGUUAAAGAUUUAUUGGUAGAAGCUGGGCAUGCGUAUGAUUAGAUAGUUGGGGAGGUAACGGCUCACCAAGUCAACGAUCAUUAGGGGUUCUGAGAGGAAGGUCCCCCACACUGGUACUGAGACACGGACCAGACUCCUACGGGAGGCAGUAGUGAGGAAUAUUGGUCAAUGGACGAGAGUCUGAACCAGCCAAGUCGCGUGAAGGAAGACGGUUCUAUGAAUUGUAAACUUCUUUUGUGCAGGAAUAAAGUGGGUUACGUGUAACCUUUUGUAUGUACUGUACGAAUAAGGAUCGGCUAACUCCGUGCCAGCCGCCGCGGUAAAAC